GUUUCAACUUCUAAAUAAGAACUCACAACUACCGCUCAACCACCGGAGCUCCGGUGAACGCCAUUGCGCUUUGCGGCAGCGAUAUCGGACUGAAAAAUGUGACAACCCUCACAAUUACAGGAAAUUAGUGGAUCUGGCGGAGUAUGCGUUGUGUCAAGGCUGCGUAGUGAAUAAAGAUGUCAUCCGAGUCGUCGAGUUUAGGAGGUGGAUCCCUUUCCUGGACGGGAUGCACAAUUCUAAACCUGGGUUUUUAUUUAUGUGCUUUUGUUGAGUCAUUGUGAACUCUGUUAAUCAUGUCAUGGUUGUAACUUACUUUAUGUGUCAACACUUUCAAACAAUGUCGUUAUGGUAUUUUUAACUUAAUGAAUGGAUGAACAUCUUGUAUUUUA